CGCGUAGGUGGGUUGGCAAGUCCGCUGUGAAAGCCCGGAGCUCAACUCCGGAGGGUCGGUGGAUACUGCCAGUCUUGAAGGUGCUAGGGGGAAGUGGAAUUACCGGUGUAGCGGUGAAAUGCGUAGAUAUCGGUAGGAACACCAGUGGCGAAGGCGGCUUCCUGGGGCAUUCUUGACGCUGAGGCGCGAAAGCUGGGGGAGCGAACGGGAUUAGAUACCCCGGUAGUCCCAGCCCUAAACGAUGGAUACUAGGUGUCAGGGGUAUCGACCCCCCUGGUGCCGCAGCUAACGCAGUAAGUAUCCCGCCUGGGGAGUACGGCCGCAAGGUUGAA
rnacentral:rRNA from 1 species